rnacentral:rRNA from 1 species
ACGGAGGGGGCUAGCGUUGUUCGGAAUUACUGGGCGUAAAGCGCGCGUAGGCGGCUUUGCAAGUUAGAGGUGAAAGCCCGGAGCUUAACUCCGGAACUGCCUUUAAAACUGCAUCGCUAGAAUCAUGGAGAGGUUAGUGGAAUUCCGAGUGUAGGGGUGAAAUUCGUAGAUAUUCGCAAGAACACCAGUGGCGAAGGCGGCUCACUGGCCCGAUACUGACGCUGAGGCACGAAAGCGUGGGGAGCAAACAGGA